ensembl:rRNA 5S_rRNA 5S ribosomal RNA
UGUCUAUGCUAUCCCACCCUGAAAGUACCUGAUCUCGUCUGAUCUCAGAAGUGAAGUAGGGUUGGGCCUGGUUACUACUUAGAUGGGAGAACUCUUGAUGGCAUUGUCAC